UUUGUGAUCAUAUUGACAGAGGUGUUGAGUGAGGAGCAGGAGUGAUUCAAGACGCGCUCUGGAAUGAACACUUCAAGCCCCUGCUUUGGUUUUCAUAUCCACUUUCACGGAGCUGACGAUUUGAAGCAAGCUGCUCUGACAGGAAACAUGUUUCCUACUGGACCUACUGAAAAAGUGCCACAUUCGUUGAGAUAUCUAAUAUAGAGGGAACUGUACAAAUUUUUGUAAUUUCAAAAAUCCCGUAAAAUAAAUUGGCAAAUUUUCAUUCAAAAAAUAUUAUUCUGCACAACCUCCAUUACUGAUUAUUUUGCUCUUUAACAUUUACCUCGAGAGAAAUUUAUUCUGUUUGAACAUUCUCUUCUUUUAAACAUCUGAUAGUCACUACACAUAGCAAGAUACUGUAGGUUCCCAAAACGAGAGACUGAAACAGAAGUUGAGCCAUGUACGUGGCCAGGAAUGGGACGUCAGCUGCUUACCCUGGCAUCCAACAGGAGCUUCCUUCAAAAAUAUUAUCUUUAAAAACUGAAUGACAACUAGGCAACAGACUUUCUCCAAUAAACAAAUAAUAAAAAUACAGGGUGAGAA